rnacentral:rRNA from 1 species
GCACCUCUGGCGUCGAGCGGCGGACGGGUGAGUAAUGCUUGGGAAUAUGCCUUAUGGUGGGGGACAACAGUUGGAAACGACUGCUAAUACCGCAUGAUGUCUACGGACCAAAGUGGGGGACCUUCGGGCCUCACGCCAUAAGAUUAGCCCAAGUGGGAUUAGCUAGUUGGUGAGGUAAUGGCUCACCAAGGCGACGAUCCCUAGCUGGUUUGAGAGGAUGAUCAGCCACACUGGGACUGAGACACGGCCCAGACUCCUACGGGAGGCAGCAGUGGGGAAUAUUGCACAAUGGGCGCAAGCCUGAUGCAGCCAUGCCGCGUGUGUGAAGAAGGCCUUCGGGUUGUAAAGCACUUUCAGUAAGGAGGAAAGGUUAAGUGUUAAUAGCACUUAGCUGUGACGUUACUUACAGAAGAAGCACCGGCUAACUCCGUGCCAGCAGCCGCGGUAAUACGGAGGGUGCGAGCGUUAAUCGGAAUUACUGGGCGUAAAGCGUACGCAGGCGGUUUGUUAAGCGAGAUGUGAAAGCCCCGGGCUCAACCUGGGAACUGCAUUUCGAACUGGCAAACUAGAGUGUGAUAGAGGGUGGUAGAAUUUCAGGUG